GUCAGGAUGAACGCUGGCGGCGUGCCUAAUACAUGCAAGUCGAACGAGUUCUCGUUGAUGAUCGGUGCUUGCACCGAGAUUCAACAUGGAACGAGUGGCGGACGGGUGAGUAACACGUGGGUAACCUGCCCUUAAGUGGGGGAUAACAUUUGGAAACAGAUGCUAAUACCGCAUAGAUCCAAGAACCGCAUGGUUCUUGGCUGAAAGAUGGCGUAAGCUAUCGCUUUUGGAUGGACCCGCGGCGUAUUAGCUAGUUGGUGAGGUAAUGGCUCACCAAGGCGAUGAUACGUAGCCGAACUGAGAGGUUGAUCGGCCACAUUGGGACUGAGACACGGCCCAAACUCCUACGGGAGGCAGCAGUAGGGAAUCUUCCACAAUGGACGCAAGUCUGAUGGAGCAACGCCGCGUGAGUGAAGAAGGCUUUCGGGUCGUAAAACUCUGUUGUUGGAGAAGAAUGGUCGGCAGAGUAACUGUUGUCGGCGUGACGGUAUCCAACCAGAAAGCCACGGCUAACUACGUGCCAGCAGCCGCGGUAAUACGUAGGUGGCAAGCGUUAUCCGGAUUUAUUGGGCGUAAAGCGAGCGCAGGCGGUUUUUUAAGUCUGAUGUGAAAGCCCUCGGCUUAACCGAGGAAGCGCAUCGGAAACUGGGAAACUUGAGUGCAGAAGAGGACAGUGGAACUCCAUGUGUAGCGGUGAAAUGCGUAGAUAUAUGGAAGAACACCAGUGGCGAAGGCGGCUGUCUGGUCUGUAACUGACGCUGAGGCUCGAAAGCAUGGGUAGCGAACAGGAUUAGAUACCCUGGUAGUCCAUGCCGUAAACGAUGAAUGCUAGGUGUUGGAGGGUUUCCGCCCUUCAGUGCCGCAGCUAACGCAUUAAGCAUUCCGCCUGGGGAGUACGACCGCAAGGUUGAAACUCAAAGGAAUUGACGGGGGCCCGCACAAGCGGUGGAGCAUGUGGUUUAAUUCGAAGCAACGCGAAGAACCUUACCAGGUCUUGACAUCUUUUGAUCACCUGAGAGAUCAGGUUUCCCCUUCGGGGGCAAAAUGACAGGUGGUGCAUGGUUGUCGUCAGCUCGUGUCGUGAGAUGUUGGGUUAAGUCCCGCAACGAGCGCAACCCUUAUGACUAGUUGCCAGCAUUUAGUUGGGCACUCUAGUAAGACUGCCGGUGACAAACCGGAGGAAGGUGGGGAUGACGUCAAAUCAUCAUGCCCCUUAUGACCUGGGCUACACACGUGCUACAAUGGAUGGUACAACGAGUUGCGAGACCGCGAGGUCAAGCUAAUCUCUUAAAGCCAUUCUCAGUUCGGACUGUAGGCUGCAACUCGCCUACACGAAGUCGGAAUCGCUAGUAAUCGCGGAUCAGCACGCCGCGGUGAAUACGUUCCCGGGCCUUGUACACACCGCCCGUCACACCAUGAGAGUUUGUAACACCCGAAGCCGGUGGCGUAACCCUUUUAGGGAGCGAGCCGUCUAAGGUGGGACAAAUGAUUAGGGUGAAGUCGUAACA
rnacentral:rRNA from 2 species